GCUCGUGGAUCGAUGAAGACCGCAGCUAAAUGCGCGUCAGAAUGUGAACUGCAGGACACAUGAACACCGACAAGUUGAACGCAUAUUGCACAUCGUACAACAGUACGAUGUACACAUUUUUGAGUGCCUAUAUUUAUCAAUUUAACUAUACACCUCGCCACGCCACCCGGCGGGGCAGGCGUAUGCGUAGUGAUGUUUUCCCGCCUUCGGUGGUGGUAAAACAUUCAAGAUAGUCAGACACCCCGCGGCCCCACCAUAAAGGCCCCGGGCGUGGUUGAUGAGUACACCCCAUACUCCAGCUUGGCUUGGAUAGCAGUGUGCCCCAUCGACGCGCUCUGAUCGACGAAUCAAGUAGGCCUCAAAUAAUGUGUGACUACCCCCUAAAUUUAAGCA
rnacentral:rRNA from 1 species